CCUAGCUAGAGAUUGACAACGCAUGCAUUGUACGUGUACUGGUUAUUUAAAGAAAAAGAAUGUCAACAAUGAAAGUGAAACUACGGUAAAUCAUUUGAUUACUAAUUCGAUGCACAUAAAAUCAUUCUUAUAUGGUUAAAAACAAUGAGAAACAUCUAUUUUUAAUCUAUAAAAUAAAAUCAAACAGACCUAUAAAAAUGCAAUUGCACGUGUUGUUUUAAUCUAUUCGUAUCUUUAUUUUUGUUUACAUCGCUUAUAUGGUCAUCUGAGGUCAAAUCGAUAGUUAAUUAGAUGGCGUCUGGACUAAAAUACACACGAAACGAACCUAUGUAUUAUCUACCCCAUGCUCUGUAAACUGUUUAUUUUAGACUUUUGAUAGUUUGGAUAAAUGUUUUACAUUGUUAUAAACCAAAUAUGAGAAUUUGAGUCAAAUCGGUUACAAUGAAUUUGACAGCUAGUGCCCCUUUAAAGAUUUUUAUCAGUGAAAUAAAGUAACUUCCCAUUAAAUACAGAAAUUAAUGAAAGGAAUUACUUUCAAAGGAAGAAAAUUAUAGAAUAUAGACUAACAAGAUACUGAAUUCAACUUACUUAGAGGUAAUCUUGUGGAAAUUAGAUUUCAAAUGAUAAAAUGACCACAUUGAGCACUUCUUGACUAAUCUCCAUAAAAAUUUAAUGUUACAGAGG
rnacentral:lncRNA from 1 species